UUUCAUUAUAACAGGUCUUUUCAUCCCACUGACACAGAACCUUUAAAUUUGGGCAUAAUGCUCCAGUACAGUACCCAGCUAUAGCUUCAAAUGGAUUUAGAACCUGCUCCAGAAAAAAAAACCCAAACUCCCUCGCUUGACACACAAAUUGUUUACGAUUCAUUAAAAAGCAAAAUUGCAUAUCCCAGUGCUGGCAGCUGAGUCUAUAUGGGUGCAAGGGGUAUUCACUCAUCUCUUUGUAUGCUGGCAGUACCAAACCGAAGUUUAGCACUGUGCAGCUGAGAUUUUGUGCAGCCAGACGAUGCAUGAGAUGCUGAGUCCUCAGGAAAAGGGACCAAUGACUAAUAAAUCAGGUGUUUCUUCCUUCACCUACUGGAAUCAAUAAGAAGCAGGAGAAAGAAGUUCUUGUUUGCAUGAGAUAACACAGACAAACAGCACCAUGUAGUGGGAAUCCACAGGGAAUCAGCUCAGCUCCCCAGUACACCGAACAAGCUGAUUUCUCCAGCCCAAACUCUGACAUAUUCAUAAUGAAUCCAGAAAGAAUCAGAGACUGAUUCACAGCAUAGCUACAACUCCAUUACAACAGACAAACCCCAGCCUGCAGCUCCAGUUAUCCUUUGGCCAAAGGAACAGACAACUGCUAUUCAAGCACCUCACCUUGAGAAAACUCUUAGUAAAAUCACAUCUUUCUACCUCUGGGGAAAAAGCAGCAAUUGGCAGCUGCCUCUGGAGGGAAAUCAGGCAGAGGAUCUGCUCCAAGAUGAUACUUUCUGAUCCCACCUCUGAUCAGUGAGGCAGCCACAGCAAAGCCACUGCCUCCUACUUCCUCCUCUCCCCCUCCAAAUUCCCCGGACAGCCAAACUGUGGAUGUGUAAUGGCUCAGGAGCAGCAGCCUGGUCAGUAGGUGAAAGAUAUUACUCCCACUACAUACAGAAACAGUCACGGGAAGACACAUGGUUUGGGAUAAGGAGCUGCUAUGAAAUGCACUCUGGGCAACGGGGCAUGGAUCUUUUCCUCUCUCCACGUGUCCACCAACUUUGUGUCCAAAACUUUGCUGUUUGAGAAGAUAUGCAAUGCAGAAUGCAUGUCAUUAAUUGUGUCCAGCAAUAAACAAAAUAUUUAGUGCAUUUUUAAUGCUGUAAAACCUUUUAAAAUACUUUUAAACCUUCCACUGUGGGACAGAAUUAAAAUUGUUUUGCUAUCUGCAACAGGCCUGGCCUCCAAUCACAUAAUUAAGCAGUCACAAAUUGCAAAAUUGGUUUGUUUGGUUCCCACACCACACAAAUACUGAUAAAAGCUUUUUUUGUUUGUCAGUUAGUGCACUGUAACUUACAUGUUAUGGGAAAACAGUUUGGCAAAUUUGGAGCUUGAAGAACACAUCACAUCUCCCCACGUUUUCCCCACAAUGGAUACUUUACUCACUGUGUUCUGUCUGGUUUCAGUGGCUGCAUGCACUCAGAUAAUGUAGCAGCUACAACUCGAAAUAAAAGAUUUAAGGCUUGUUAAGCAUAAAGGAUUUUUUCUUCCUGUAUGAGACAGAGGGUUAUACUUCCUGCAGCCAAUUAAACCAUCUUUAACCACUGCAAGGACUCGUAAGCAGCAGCAUAUGCAGAGUGACUGGCUACAUUUCGUAGCUCAGUUCUUACAGACACAGACACGUGUCCGCAGACCAGAAGCACCAUAUGCUCCAGGAAGCAAGUGCUGGGGCUUCUGCACCAUCUCAUGUACUCCUCCUGUUCCUCAGACUACCCAAAUGCACUGAAUAGCCAAAGCUGUUCACAUAAGAAGUGUGCACCUUCUACCCAUGAAGAUUUUUUGUUCAGCAAUAAAUGUACAAUCUGUAACAAUAACAACAACAGCAAAAACAAACAAACAACAAAAAAAAAAGAGCAGAAGAUCUUGUGUAAAUCCUUUAAGCAGGUUCUCUGCAAGAUUUCCAGUAGAAACUUUUGGCACGACCAAUCAGCCAAGAUUGCUAUUGCUGAAACUUUAAAUCUUUAUGAAAAGAAUCCCCUGGAUUACAAGGGAGAAAGCAGAACUACACCAGAAAUACCUAAGGAAAGGAAAGCCAAUAUUCUCUCACGGGUUUUCCAGACUACCUAGCAGAAAGUUUAUGCUUAAGGCCCCACAGGAGAGUUCAAAAUGCAUAUAAAGAUUUUUGCUUGCUGUCAAACACACCAGUCAACAGUGGCUUUUAGAUCCCAACUCUGAAUAAGGGUCUAUGUUAAACAACAAAAUCCUUGGAGGAUCACCAGGAAGAACAUAAGGAGGAUACAAUACUUUGAUGUGCUUUUGUGGGUGAUAGGGGGAACAACAGUCUGCUCUUUGAAGAGCAGAGAGACUUCACAGCCUGUAUUUGUAUUUAUUUUCCAGCAGGAUUUCCAAUGCACCCAAGACCAAAUGUCCAGACUAAGUACUUUCUGGAAAGAGUAAACAUCUUAGUGUUGAGUAUACCAUGGCAGGGUGUUUCAUCAGCACCUAGCUCAUGAAGUGGAAAUAAAGGGAACUUGACAGCAAAUGAAACUGCUUGAGGAAACAAGCUGUGGAACUGUGCUCCAGAGGCUGAUUAAUUCAGAAGGUUACCAAGUACAGUAUUUACUAAUAUUUGCUAAAACUCUUCAGAAUCAGGUUCCCCUAAAUUUAAUUCUUAUUCUCUCUGCAUUGCCUCUCUACAUUAAGGUAGAUGGGCAGCUUGCAUACUUAGUGACGAAUGGAAGAGCUUUGCUAUUAAAAGGCCAAAUUCACAAUUCUGCUGCCAUCUCUAUGGCUACAAGGUUGCACUUUCAAAAGUGACAAAAUUAGACUUUGGUUAUAUCUAUGUAAAAUUAUUGCUUUAUGAGAGGUGAUUUGGAUUUUUGCGGUGCAGCUAAAUUUAGCCCUGAAGCUGAUGUUUCAGGGAUUUUAAUGAAGUGUUAAUUUUAUAUGGCUUAAAAUAGAACUGGAAAACACAUCCUACACAAUUUUUCUAAUAUCUAGGUUAGCGUGUCUGUUACUUCAGUUACUUUGUGCUUUAAAUUAUUGGCAUUUGACUUGUGGUUUUGUCAGCUAUAAUCUGCUUCCUCCAAUUAGCAAAGAAUGGGGAAGGAUUUCUGUUUUUAAAUGCAAUUCAAUAUGGACAAUGUUACAUCAAUUUCAUCCACUGAUAAAUUCACAACUUGCUUGCACCCAGCUUGAUUCUGCUGCAGAAGCAUUGUGCUGUAAUUGUAGCAUAUUUGCUGAAGCCCUGGUGUUAAUUCACACUGGAGCCAAAACCUGAUCACAACAGGCAGGUGAGAUUGUCCAGGUGUUCCUGGCAGAAGCACAACUGAACCUGUGCAGCAGCAGUGCAGGUGUUGUGCAGCCACACCUCCCUCUGCACCUGCACUGCUGUGCCCGCUCUUGUUUCCAGGCCACCACAUUGUCUGGGAUAAAGAAAUUCCAUCUCCAGGGAGUGCUGGCAUUUGGAGUUGUGCAGUUUGUCUGUGCACAACAGAAACAGCUUCAUACCUGAGCAUAUAACUGUACACGAGAGCACAUAACUACUGCUCUACUACAUGCAAUCUUUAAAAGCUACACAGCACAUGCCACCUGCUAAUAACCAGUAAGAGGCUUUUGUAGCCUUUUCUGGACAUUGUUAUUUUAAAAUAAAUGUGUAAAUCUACUAAGAAUAGUUACAUGUUCUGUAUCCAGUCAAGGAAUGAGCAGGCUAUUAAGAGAAGUCCCAUAAAGCUGACAAUUGCUCUGCCACUGCUUAGCACAAACAAUUUCUGUUGCAAUCAAAAGCAUAUUGGCGGUCUAUAUGAGCAUUUACUGGACCUUGAAACCAGCAUGUUUCUGCCUUCAAAUGUUCCUCAUAGAGCAAGAGUGCUGAAAUCCCACAAAUACCUUCAUUGUGUUCUUUCUUCUGUUCAGUUUCACCUUUAUUUCAGAGGGGGGACUUCUAGACUUUUCUAUGCUCUGAGCAAAGAUUUAGUGCUUCAGAAAAAUACAUGUGGGCUGCUCUGCCUGCCUCCUUCCUGCCACUACAGCACACAGGAACUGGACUGAGGGUACAGGAGUCCUCAGGUAACAUCAAUCCUGGCUCUCCCUGUCUGCCCCGGUUUAUGUUUUGAAUGCUCUGUGGUUGUGAGCAAGGCAGGAGGCACAGGGUGCAGAGGCACUCCCACUCUGCUGCAAAGGAUAAUUCCCUGCUCCCGGGCACUCUGCCCCCUUCAAUCACUGCCAGCCUUGGGGGGUUGGCUAUGCUUCAGCUCGCCUCCAAAUGAAGCUAUGGAGGAGGAUCCAGGCAAUUCAGAUGGUGUGGGAUGGAUGUCAGCGAGCUGGACCCUCAGUAAUUAAUGGCUCAUAAAGAUUCUUGGUAUCCAAAAUGAGCCUGGUUAUGUGACAACAUCAAUCUGUUCCAGGGGGUGAUCAGAGGCAGGUGAGAGGAAUAGGUCUGUGCCAUCACUCUCCAGGAUGUGCCUGGGGAAGGGUCAUGGCUGGGCUUCUUCCAGGUCUUGUUAUUACCCAUAACAUCCCCUUUGUGCUCUGACGGUAAAUGUAAAUGGCCCCAAAAUCUAAGGCCUGCUAAGGACAAGAGGUGAGGUACCCUCGAGCCAAACUUCUCAGGUUUGUGUCAGCUAUUCCACUCCUCUGCUAAAGGUGCAAUAUCAGACUAAAAUAAUGAAAAAUGGGGUAGAGUUUCACUGAAGUAAGGUAAUUUUCAUAGUAAUGUGUGCCUAAAGUGAGACUGACCAAAUCACCAAAAAACUCUUGGGGGUUUUGUCAGGGCACUUUACCAGCUUAACCACAGAAUGAGAUAUAAACAUGUACUUAAACUACUUGGUGCAGAAACCAAAUAACAAAACACCUUUUUUUUUUUUUUAUUCAACCAGUAAACGACAUUCAGUGAUUAACAAGCAAGAACCAGUUGUGGAAGAAAUAUUACUUUUGCAAGAAUUACUGGAUUUUGCAGAAAGAAACUGCAUUCAGAAUUGAAUUUGAUUCACUUAAUUCAGAAUUCUCCCCCCUCAUCCUUUUUUAAACCAAUAUUUAAAUUUAUUACUUAAGAAAAAGAAAUAAAAUGUCUCCUCACCCCUGGAAGUUUUAUUAUUUAAAAAAAACUGCCUUGAUUAAAUGAAGAAAAAGAAAAGAUGAAUAGACAGCUAAAUGUCCUCUAAUAAGAAAAGUUAAUAAGGAAAAUGGUUCUAAUAUUUCUUUCUCUGAUAAUGGCUCCAUUGUUUUGAUUGGAGAGGCAGAAGUGAAGCACACACUCAGUGCUGCAUUCCCACGACUAAAUCACCUGUAAGAUUGUAUUUUGCAUUUGAAAGCUCUCUGACAAUGUCUGUCCCAGGGUAGAUGCCUUCGCUUCU